rnacentral:rRNA from 1 species
UACUAUAUUGAGAUUAAAAUUUAAAUACUUUAAUAUUACUAGAUAUGUUCUUUAAAUUAAAAGAUUUGGCGGUAAUUUAGUCUAACUAGGGGAACCUGUUUUUGGAUCGAUACACCACGAUUUAUCUUACUUUUAAAUAAGUUUGUAUACCAUCAUUUAAGAUAAUUUUUAAAGAAUUUAUUAAAAUUUAGGUUAAUAAAAUAAGUUAGAUCAAGGUGCAGCUAUAAAAAAGUUAAAAUGGGUUACAAUAAUUUAUAAUUAGAUGGAUAAUUUUUUGAAUAAAUAAUUUAAAGGUGGACUUAGUUGUAGUUUUAUUUUAAUAUAAUAAAAAGAAAUAAGCUCUAAAUUAU